GUGCCAGCCGCCGCGGUAAUACGUAGGGGGCAAGCGUUGUCCGGAGUUACUGGGCGUAAAGCGCACGCAGGCGGUCGGCUGCGUAGGUGGUGACAGUCCUCGGCUUACCUGAGGAAGCGCUGCCUAAACGGGUCGACUUGAGGGCCAGAGAGGGACACGGAACUCCGGGUGGAGCGGUGAAAUGCGUAGAGAUCCGGAAGAACACCAAAGGCGAAGGCAGUGUCCUGGCUGGCUCCUGACGCUCAGGUGCGAAAGCUAGGGGAGCAAACAGGAUUAGAUACCCUGGUAGUCC
rnacentral:rRNA from 1 species